AAACCAUGAUGUGGGCACUUCCUCAUCAAAUCCUUGUAUCUCUCCCAGGCCUGUACACAGACUCGGCAUCAUCUUGUAGAAAUGAUGUGAUAUCAUUUCUCAACUU